UUUUUUUUUUUUUUUUUUUUUUGAGACAGUAUUUUAUUCUGUUGCUCAGGCUGGAGUGCAGUGGUGUGAUCACAGCUAACUGCAGCCUUGAAUUCCUGGGCUCAAGCCAUCCUCCCAUCACAGCCUCCCAAGUAGCUGGGACCACAGGCACAUACCACCACACUUAGCUAAUUUUUGUAUUUUUUGUAGAGACAGGAUUUCACCAUGUUACCCAGUCUGGUCUUGAACUUCUGUGCUCCAGCGAUCCACCCACCUCAGCCUCCCAAAGGGCUGGGAUUACAGGUGUGAGCCACCUCACCCGGCCUGCUCUUUCUUCAAGGAGGGGAAGGACAGGUUGGGUUUUAUGCUUCACAGAGUUUGUGUCAUACAUAUUCAGCAGAUUUGGGGAAAAGCUAUACAUAUUUAUGAGGGGAACUGAGUGUAUGUGCAAUGAGUAAACAUGUAUGUAACAUACAUACCAUGUUUACUUUGGGGUAAGGUUUUGGCAUUAAAAUGAGGUGGAAUUGGCUGCACAUCAAAAGGUGAACUAUAGGACACAAAGGCAAUUUGUGCACAGCCUCUAUAAGCUGUCUGAAACUGGCUUAAGGUCUGCAAUAGCUUCUGAGAAAAGAGUAUUUGUAAGGCUGGUCCUCUGUCUAAUCAGACUGUUAUCUGGGUUUUAAAUCAGAGUUCAUAGCUCCUAUUGUUAGGGACCUUAGCCAUAGGAAUUUAGCAAUUUGCUACGCCAGCUUGAACCUUGGACCCAUAAAUAAGUUACUUCCCUUAACCUUUGGGUCUAUCUUACUUGAUAAAGGGGCAUCUAUUUUGGUCUCUCAGAUCAAAAGAGGAAGAUCUAAUAUCAAGUAUAUAAUGUUUUCUAGAGUCAGCGUAGCCAAAACGGCAUGAAAAGAGACAUAUCCAUGUUAUACUGAUAUCAUUCUUAGUUUUGAGCAUUUGACAUGAUGGUACAAUGUGCAAAUUUCAAAUGUAAUUUUAAGUUAAAAGGGAGAGAUACAUACAAAAAUUGCAACAAUCUGACUUGAAUUUGUUUUAUUUCCAAACUUUCUUCUAAAUUUCAGUCAGGCUAGCCACGGUGUCUCAAGCCUGUAAUCCCAGCACUUUAGGAGGCCGAGGUAGGCGGAUCACUUGAGGUCUGGAAUUCAAGACCAGCCUGGCCAACAUGGUGAAACCCUGUCUCUACUACAAAUACAAAGAUUAGCCAGGCGUGGUGGUGAGCACCUGUAAUCCCAGCUACUCAGGAAACUGAGGCAGGAGACUCGCUUGAACCCAGGGGGUAGAGGUUGCAGUGAGCCGAGAUUGCACCAUUGCACUCCAGCCUGGCCAACAGAGAGAGACUCCGUCUCAAAAAUAAAAAUAAAAAUAAAUAAAUUCAAAAAGUCAAACUUUUUCUGUGUCAUGACUACUCUGGUUGACUGGCCUUGUCCUGAGUCUAGAUAAAUUAUUUUUAAUCAUAUAAUCAAAGCUGCAAAUAACUUCUUUUUCCUUUAAUUCUCUUUGGUCAAAUGCUCCAAGAAAACUCACAGUAAUUCACAAGUUCAUAUGUUCACAAAUUCUCUGAUACUCCUCCCUUCAAGAAGAAGAGCUUAGCCAGGCUUGAUGGCACAAGCCUAUAGUCCAGCCACUUGG
rnacentral:lncRNA from 1 species